CAGCAGUAGGGAAUAUUGGUCAAUGGAUGGAAGUCUGAACCAGCCAUGCCGCGUGCAGGAAGAAGGCCUUCUGGGUUGUAAACUGCUUUUGCCGGGGGAUAAAAUUCCCAUGCGUGGGACAUUGAAGGUACCCGGUGAAUAAGCCACGGCUAACUACGUGCCAGCAGCCGCGGUAAUACGUAGGUGGCAAGCGUUGUCCGGAUUUAUUGGGUUUAAAGGGUGCGUAGGCGGCCUAUUAAGUCAGUUCUGAAAUAUCCCGGCUUAACCGGGAGGGUGGCAUUGAUACUGAUGGGCUUGAGUGGAAUCGAGGUAGGCGGAAUUGACGGUGUAGCGGUGAAAUGCUUAGAUAUCGUCAAGAACACCGAUAGUGUAGCCAGCUUACUAGACUUCAACUGAACGCUGAGGCACGAAAGUGUGGGGAUCAAACAGGAUUAGAUAUCCCUGGUAGUCCCCACUGUAAAGCGUUGAUUACUCGCCGUGUGCGAUAU
rnacentral:rRNA from 1 species